rnacentral:rRNA from 1 species
GACGAACGCUGGCGGCGUGCUUAACACAUGCAAGUCGAACGGAAAGGCCCUGCUUUUGUGGGGUGCUCGAGUGGCGAACGGGUGAGUAACACGUGAGUAACCUGCCUUUGACUUUGGGAUAACUUCAGGAAACUGGGGCUAAUACCGGCUAGGUGCUCCUGCUGCAUGGUGGGGGUUGGAAAGUUUCGGCGGUUGGGGAUGGUCUCGCGGCUUAUCAGCUUGUUGGUGGGGUAGUGGCUUACCAAGGCUGUGACGGGUAGCCGGCCUGAGAGGGUGACCGGGCACAUUGGGACUGAGAGACGGACCAGAGUCCUACGGGAGGCAGCAGUGGGGAAUAUUGCACAGUGGGAGGAAGCCUGAUGCGGCAACGCCGCGUGCGGGAUGACGGCCUUCGGGUAGUAAACCGCUUUCGCCUGUGACGAAGCGUGAGUGACGGUAAUGGAUAAAGAAGCACCGGCUAACUACGUG